CCCAUGAGAGGCAAGGGAGGGGACAUCCAAGGGUUGGUCCAGCACAGAAAGAUCCCCACCAAGGGCUGCUCACCUGCCCUGGGGACUCAGAACACACAUGACUCACCCCACUUGAGCUCAGACAGACGCCUCCCCAGGAAGCCCCAGGGUUGCGGCAUUGCACAGGGUGCACGGACCCCCUGAUGUCCCUGACCUCUUGCCAGCAUCCUCUGGCCCUGCAGAAGCAGCCAACAUGCCCGUCUCCAAGUGCCCGAAAAAGUCAGAGCCCCUGUGGAAGGGAUGGGACAAGAGGGCCCAGAAGAAUGGACUGAGGCACCAGGUGUACGCUGUGAACGGGGACCGCUACGUGGGCGAGUGGAAGGACAACCUGAAACACGGGAAAGGAACACAGGUCUGGAAGAAGAAAGGGGCCAUCUACGAGGGCGAGUGGAAAUUUGGGAAGCGAGAUGGCUACGGCACUCUCAGCCUUCCUGACCCGGAGACCGGCAAGUACAGGAAAGUAUACUCAGGCUGGUGGAAAGGCGAUAAGAAAUCGGGCUACGGGAUCCAGUUUUUCGGACCCAAGGAAUAUUACGAGGGUGAGUGGUGUGGCAACCAGCGCAGCGGGUGGGGCCGCAUGUACUACAGCAACGGCGAUAUCUACGAGGGCCAGUGGUGGAAUGACAAGCACGACGGGGAGGGCAUGCUGCGGCUGAAGAAUGGGAACCGCUACGAGGGCUGCUGGGAGAGAGGCAUGAAGAAUGGGUCAGGGCGUUUCUUCCACCUCGACCACGGCCAGCUGUUUGAAGGCUUCUGGGUGGACGACGUGGCCAAGUGCGGCACGAUGAUCGACUUUGGCCGUGAUGAGGCCCCUGCGCCUACCCAGUUCCCCAUUCCUCAGGUCAAAAUUCUAGACCCCGACAGUGUGCUGCAGGAAGCUUUGGCCAUGUUCAAGAAGACAGAGGAGGAGGAAGGACAGUGAUGCCGGGUGAGGGGGCAGGCGUGUCUGCCGCUCCCUGGGAGGUGGAGGCAGCCCUGGGGCUGGAACAAGCAGAUUCCUAGGGUCUCCAAAGUGCUCAGGUGUGAGACCAGAGAGGAGAACACUGAAGUUUCAGGAGGAGCUCAACUGUGUUACCCAACUGCUCAGACCGGUGUGGCUCCUGCUGCAGGGGUGAGCAGUGACUCUGGGCACGCCCUUGGCACCCUUCGAGGGCACCUCACUUCUCCCAGCACUAGAUUGUUCUUUACCAAUAGGGGGGCCAGUGCUUCUCUCUCCAGCUGGCCUUGGGGACCCUGUUGUUCUGGCCUUCAUUCUAUGACCUCAUCCCGAAGUGCGUGAGAAUAAAGGAACAACCUGGUGGCGUGA